CCUGGUGUCUAUGGCGGUGUGGAACCACACUCAUCCAUCUCGAACUGAGUUGUGAAACGCACCUGCGGCGACGAUAGUUAGGGGGUAGCCCCUUGUCAAAAUAGCUCGAUGCCAGGU
rnacentral:rRNA from 1 species